UUUAUCUCUAGCAGGGGAAGGCUAGCCUAAUCAGGGAUAUGUCCAGUUCAGAAAUGUGGACCGUUUUGUGGCACCGCUUCUCCAUGGUCCUGAGGCUCCCCAAGGAGGCAUCUGCACAGGAAGGGGAGCUUUCGCUAUCCAGUCCACCAAGCCCUGAGCCGGACUGGACACUGAUUUCUCCGCAGGGCAUGGCAGCCCUGCUGAGCCUGGCCAUGGCCACCUUUGCCCAGGAGCCCCAGUUAUGCCUGAGCUGCCUGUCCCAGCAUGGAAGUAUCCUUAUGUCCAUCCUGAAGCAUCUGCUUUGCCCCAGCUUCCUGAAUCAACUGCGCCAGGCGCCUCAUGGGUCUGAGUUUCUCCCUGUCGUGGUGCUCUCUGUCUGCCAGCUCCUUUGCUUCCCCUUUGCGCUGGACAUGGAUGCUGACCUCCUUAUAGGUGUCUUGGCCGACCUCAGGGACUCAGAAGUUGCAGCCCAUCUGCUGCAGGUCUGCUGCUACCAUCUUCCGUUGACGCAAGUGGAGCUGCCCAUCAGCCUCCUCACGCGCCUGGCCCUCACAGAUCCCACCUCUCUCAACCAGUUUGUGA
rnacentral:sRNA from 1 species